UAGACUUGACAUGUCCGUGGUACCAACCUGAAAGGGAAGGGACCCGCAAGGGAGCGGACACAGAUGCUGCAUGGCUGUCGUCAGCUCGUGCCGUGAGGUGUUGGGUUAAGUCCCGCAACGAGCGCAACCCCCGCCGUCAGUUACCAUUUCUGGCGGGACCGCCGGUACACACCGGAGGAAGGUGGGGAUGACGUCAAGUCAGCACGGCUCUUACGUCUAGGGCGACACACACGCUACAAUGGUCGGUACAAUGGGUUGCUUAGGGGCGACCUGAAGCCAAUCCCAUCAAAGCCGAUCUCAGUUCGGAUUGCAGGCUGCAACUCGCCUGCAUGAAGUCGGAGUUGCUAGUAACCGCUGGUCAGCACACAGCGGUGAAUACGUUCCCGGGCC
rnacentral:rRNA from 1 species